UCCUGGUUAACCCAGGCAGUCUCUCUAGAGUGCCCAACUUAAUGCUGGCAACUAAAGAUAGGGGUUGCGCUCGUUGCGAGACUUAACCCAACAUUUCACAACACGAGCUGACGACAGCCAUGCAGCACCUGUCACUGCGUUCUCCGAAGAGCACUUCAGGAAUUACCCUGAAUUCGCAGGAUUUCAAACCUAGGUAAGGUUCUUCGCGUUGCUUCGAAUUAAACCACAUAAUCCACCGCUUGUGCGGGCCCCCGUCAAUUCCUUUGAGUUUUAGUCUUGCGACCGUACUUCCCAGGCGGAGUACUUAACGCGUUAGCUUCGUUCCUGAGGGGGUCAAUACCCCCAAAAACCAGUACUCAUCGUUUACAGCGUGGACUAC
rnacentral:misc_RNA from 1 species